rnacentral:rRNA from 1 species
GACGAACGCUGGCGGCGUGCUUAACACAUGCAAGUCGAACGGAAGGGCCCUGCUUUUGUGGGGUGCUCGAGUGGCGAACGGGUGAGUAACACGUGAGUAACCUGCCCUUGACUUUGGGAUAACUUCAGGAAACUGGGGCUAAUACCGGAUAGGAGCUCCUGCUGCACGGUGGGGGUUGGAAAGUUUCGGCGGUUGGGGAUGGACUCGCGGCUUAUCCGCUUGUUGGUGGGGUAGUGGCUUACCAAGGCUUUGACGGGUAGCCGGCCUGAGGGGGUGACCGGCCACAAUGGGACUGAGAUACGGCCCAGACUCCUACGGGAGGCAGCAGUGGGGAAUAUUGCACAAUGGGCGGAAGCCUGAUGCAGCAACGCCGCGUGCGGGAUGACGGCCUUCGGGUUGUAAACCGCUUUCGCCUGUGGCGAAGCGUGAGUGACGGUAAUGGGUAAAGAAGCACCGGCUAACUACGUG